UUACGGCCACAUCACGUUGAAACUCCGUUUCCCGUACGAUCACUGAAAUUAAGCAACGUCGUGCCUAUUCAGUAACUAGAUGGGUGACCGAUUGGUAAUACCAAGUGUCGUAA